AGAUCUUCUGAGAAAAACAUGAGAAAUUCCCCAUGAUGUACUUGGAUAGUCAUGGUCAUAUUGCCUUGUCUUGCCUGUUAUUUCUGCCGGCUCUGAGAGUUGGGGAAGGAAGAAUUCAAACAUGAACAGAUGCAGAGAGGUGAAGGAGGAGAAGGAGAAUAUUCCUUUUACAUGGAAAAGCUACAACAGCCUACGUAGUUAGUCCAGUUAAAAUCAAGGACAUCUGACCUCUUCAUAACAACUAAGCACAGGUGCACCCCUGCUGCACCAGGCAUAUUAUUUCAGGCUGCUGUGAAGGUGUGGCUGCCAGGAUAAGGUCUUACAAUUAAAUU